rnacentral:pre_miRNA from 1 species
CGGGGCCGAGACACUGUCUGAGGGGUUUACGAGUCUCACAGUGAACCGGUCUCUUU